rnacentral:sRNA from 1 species
AGCAGCCGCGGUAAUUCCAGCUCCAAUAGCGUAUAUUAAAGUUGUUGCAGUUAAAAAGCUCGUAGUUGAACCUUAGGCCCGUGCGGGCGGUCCGUCCUCUGGGCGAGCACUGCCUCGUCGCGGGUCUCACCUUCUGGCGAGCGUGGAUGCCAUUCAUUUGGUGUCUGCGGGAACCAGGACCUUUACCUUGAAAAAUUAGAGUGCUCAAAGCGGGCUCUUACGCUUGAAUACAUUAGCAUGGAAUAAUGAAAUAGGACGACGGUUCUAUUUUGUUGGUUUCCGGGAUUGUCGUAAUGAUUAAUAGGGAUAGUUGGGGGCAUUCGUAUUCAAUUGUCAGAGGUGAAAUUCUUGGAUUUAUUGAAGACGGACUACUGCGAAAGCAUUUGCCAAGGAUGUUUUCAUUAAUCAAGAACGAAAGUUGGGGGAUCGAAGACGAUCAGAUACCGUCGUAGUCUUAACCAUA